CCAGACUCCUACGGGAGGCAGCAGUGGGGGAUAUUGCACAAUGGGGGGAACCCUGAUGCAGCGACGCCGCGUGGGUGAAGAAGCGCCUCGGCGCGUAAAGCCCUGUCAGCAGGGAAGAAAAUGACGGUACCUGAAGAAGAAGCCCCGGCUAACUACGUGCCAGCAGCCGCGGUAAUACGUAGGGGGCAAGCGUUAUCCGGAUUUACUGGGUGUAAAGGGAGCGUAGACGGCAGCACAAGUCUGGAGUGAAAUGCCGGGGCUUAACCCCGGAACUGCUUUGGAAACUGUGCAGCUAGAGUGCCGGAGAGGUAAGUGGAAUUCCUAGUGUAGCGGUGAAAUGCGUAGAUAUUAGGAGGAACACCAGUGGCGAAGGCGGCUUACUGGACUGUAACUGACGUUGAGGCUCGAAAGCGUGGGGAGCAAACAGGAUUAGAUACCCCUGUAG
rnacentral:rRNA from 1 species